UGUCAUUAUGGAGAUCAUCUACCUGCUGACUGGAGAGGUGAGGGAUUCUGGGUAAUGUCAUUAUGGAGAUCAUCUACUUGCUGGCUGGAGAGGUGAGGGAUUCUGGGUAAUGUCAUUAUGGAGAUCAUCUACCUGCUGGCUGGAGAGGUGAGGGAUUCUGGGUAAUGUCAGUAUGGAGAUCAUCUACCUGCUGACUGGAGAGGUGAGGGAUUCUGGGUAAUGUCACUAUGGAGAUCAUCUACCUGCUGACUGGAGAGGUGAGGGAUUCUGGGUAAUGUCAGUAUGGAGAUCUUCUACCUGCUGACUGGAGAGGUGAGGGAUUCUGGGUAAUGUCAUUAUGGAGAUCAUCUACCUGCUGGCUGGGGAGGUGAGGGAUUCUGGGUAAUGUCAGUCUGGAGAUCAUCUACCUGCUGACUGGAGAGGUGAGGGAUUCUGGGUAAUGUCAUUAUGGAGAUCAUCUACCUGCUGACUGGGGAGGUGAGG